AUUGAACGCUGGCGGCAUGCCUUACACAUGCAAGUCGAACGGCAGCACGGGAGCAAUCCUGGUGGCGAGUGGCGAACGGGUGAGUAAUAUAUCGGAACGUGCCCAGUCGUGGGGGAUAACGUAGCGAAAGCUACGCUAAUACCGCAUACGAUCUAUGGAUGAAAGCGGGGGAUCGCAAGACCUCGCGCGAUUGGAGCGGCCGAUAUCAGAUUAGGUAGUUGGUGGGGUAAAAGCCUACCAAGCCUUCGAUCUGUAGCUGGUCUGAGAGGACGACCAGCCACACUGGAACUGAGACACGGUCCAGACUCCUACGGGAGGCAGCAGUGGGGAAUUUUGGACAAUGGGCGCAAGCCUGAUCCAGCAAUGCCGCGUGCAGGAUGAAGGCCUCGGUUGUAAGGACUUUGUUGGGACGAAGCUAUCUUGUCUAUAACAAGAUAGCAUGAGUGUACCAAACGAAUAAGACACCGGCUAACUA
rnacentral:rRNA from 1 species